rnacentral:pre_miRNA from 1 species
GUCACAUGGGGGUCUUGUUAAGAUGAAGGUUCUGAUUCUAGGUGGAACUUGAGAUCCUGCAUUUCUAACAAGUUCUCAGGUGAUACUAU